rnacentral:tRNA from 1 species
AGCAAGAUCAGCUAAUUAAGCUCUUGGGUUCAUACCCCAAAAAUGUUGGUUAAACUCCCUCCCUUGCUA